GGCUGUAACAGCCGAUGUAACAUACCAGAUUUUGGUAUAAAAAUAAAAAUAAAUAAAAAUAGUGUGAGAAACUAUUUUUAUUGGAUUUGUAGAAGUAAAACAUAAGUCAGAAGUGACUUGUGCUGAAAUCGGAAUGAAAACAGAAGAUUUAGAAUUUUCUAUUGGAAACGGGACAGAUAAAUUAGCAGAAAAUGCACAGUCUAAGAAAAUUAUGAAAAUUGGAGGAUAAGUCAGAAAUAUUUUUAUGAGACUAGAUUUAAAGUUUCAUAUUUUUCUGACACUCGUAGAGUGAGAAAUAAAAUCCAACAGCUAUCUGAUAAAGAUUACAGUUCGGUACAUUUUUCAGUGACCAAACGGGGUCGAAACUGAAAACUUAAGAUAUAUUCUUACUCAGUACAUUAAACUCCUGCCUGUCAAAUUUGAGCUCAAACGGAUAUUCAGAAGGGCUCCAACUGUUCCGAACUGCUAAACUGCUGCCCGAGUGAAUAGUGUAUAGUUGAGGGGCAAAAUGGUAAAAAGGGAUUAAAUCCCUUUAUU
rnacentral:lncRNA from 1 species